rnacentral:rRNA from 1 species
GAUGAACGCUGGCGGCGUGCCUAAUACAUGCAAGUCGAGCGAACAGACGAGGAGCUUGCUCCUCUGACGUUAGCGGCGGACGGGUGAGUAACACGUGGAUAACCUACCUAUAAGACUGGGAUAACUUCGGGAAACCGGAGCUACUACCGGAUAAUAUAUUGAACCGCAUGGUUCAAUAGUGAAAGACGGUUUUGCUGUCACUUAUAGAUGGAUCCGCGCCGCAUUAGCUAGUUGGUAAGGUAACGGCUUACCAAGGCAACGAUGCGUAACCGACCUGAGAGGGUGAUCGGCCACACUGGAACUGAGACACGGUACAGACUCCGACGGGAGGCAGCAGUAGGGAAUCUUCCGCAAUGGGCGAAAGCCGGACGGAGCAACGCCGCGUGAGUGAUGAAGGUCUUCGGAUCGUAAAACUCUGUUAUUAGGGAAGAACAAAUGUGUAAGUAACUAGGCACGUCUUGACGGUACCUAAUCAGAAAGCCACGGCUAACUACGUG